rnacentral:lncRNA from 1 species
CCCAGCUGAGCCCACCCAAAUGCCAGGACCACAGUACAAGAGAGGAACUAUGAUUAUUGUCUUCAGUUUCUAAGUUCUGGGUGUUUUGUUACACACAGAAAUCAUUUGAUUCUUCUCAUUAGGAUGUCAGCUCAGGGAUACAAGGAUUGUGUCUCUUCUUCACUGUAUCCCUGAGCCUAGCCUGAUACCUGGCCCUUGGGAAUUGCUCACCUAUAUUAAUAGAUGGUUAAAGCCAUUCAUUCAAGCAGCCAUGGGCCUGGUUCACCAUUGUAUCUCCAGUUUCUAGGCAACAAAACUGCCACCCUUUUGUUGCUUAGCAACUACUUGUGUAUGAUCUUUACCUGGGAUCAUUUAUUUCUGUUUAAUAGAGGGCAAUAAUAGUGAUAUAAACAAGGAACACUCUCCACACCUGACCCCUCAACACUGGCUUCCAGUUGGUUUCGAGGGGGUUUGUCUGUAUCCCUUGAUCUCUCCCACCACCCCCAGCCUCUCUGGUUCACCAGCUCUGGGUCCCCAAAACAGGAAGACCUGAAGAUAAAGAAACUGAGGCUGGAGGAGAGGGAAGGGGAACAAGAUGCCCCAGCCAGUCAGUGGUGGAGAAGCUGUUUUGCCAGAUGUAGAACAACAGGAGGCAGGAGCACCAGGCCGGAAGCUACUGAUCCAAGUGGUGCAACCUGCUCAGGAAGCUGCUGCCUUCCCCACUGCGCGUGUAGCAUGCGAGGACUCUGUGGCCAGGUCACUGUGAAAUGCGGUCACCUUC